rnacentral:lncRNA from 1 species
UGGGGCAGGAGAAAGGGGGGUCAAAAAGAAAAAUCUUGGCUUAUUCUCCUCAGAAAAGACUGUUGAGGAACAUUUAUUUUCCAUUCUGAGGUAGAACAUAAAAAGGCAGGGAGCCAAUGAGGAGAAGGAUCAUAGUUCAUCUGGUUUCCUCAGAAAAUAUUGUUGGGCGGGAAUUUACCUCCUAGAGACAGGGGACAGGAAGAAGUGAGGAGGGAAAAAAGGGUCUCAGUUCAAUCUCCUCAAAAAAGGCUAUUGGGGAGGAAUUUCUUCUCCUAGAGACAGACAACAGCAAGCACUGAGGAGGGGAGGAGGAAAGAGCCUCAGUCCAGUUUCCUCAGAAAAGGCAGUGGAGGGAGACGUUUUCCUUCUAGCUUAGAGUAGGAGACAGCAGGCAAGGAAGAGUGAAGUGGGGGGAGAUGAGUUUCAUUUCCUCAGAAAAGGCUGUGGAGGGAGACAUUUGCUCCCAAUCUUGGAGCACGAGACAAGAAUUGUGGAGGGGGGGUGGCAGGGAAAGGGUUCCAGUCUUCUCAGAAAAGAUUGUGUGUGUGUGUGUGUGUGUGUGUGUGUGUGUGUGUGUGGUGGUGGUGGUGGUGGUGGUGGUGGUUUUUCAUCUUAGGGCAGGAGCAGGAAAAGGAGGGAGGAGGAUCCCCAGUUCAGUCUCCUCAGAAAAUACUGAGAAGGGGAGAGAGAAGAGGAAGGGGAAAAAAGAAGGGUCUUUCCCCUGGCCUCCUCAGAAAAGACUGAGAGAAGCUAUGUUAACUUCAGCCUGGUCCGCAGGCUCAUCUCACCUCUGGGGAGAUCUGAAUUUCACCGAUGUUGUCAAUCAGAAUGUGCAAGUCUUUAGCCAUCUGAACGUGGCCGGAGGGGUCAGUAGAGAGGAAGCCAGGGAAAUGUCAGACAAUCUGCCUCUGUCUUUCUACAUGAGUAUUCCUGAUCGCCUGCUGUUAUGGGAUCGCAGUGAUGGGGCAAGAUCUUUUUGGAUUAACCAGCUGCAUCAGAGCUCAACCUACAUGCCCAGUAUCCUGGUUCCUGCUUCUUACCUGGCCACUAACAGCCCUUUCUCAGCUGCCUUUAGUAGCAUCAGACUAAUAAGAAUGAUCUCUCCAAUAAGCAAAUCCGUAAAGGAUCAAGCCUGUGGUGAGGACACCCCCAUGGUAGCUGAAAGCAUGGUGAAUCUUGAAGAGGGCUCUCGUGAAGGAUUGGCCAGUGAAGAUGCGGGCAGGAUGGAGAUCGCUGCCUUGAAAAAGCAGCUGCAUAAGAUCUCUGGGAGACUGCAGGCUCUGGAGGCCCGGUGCAGGGGCUGGCGUCAGAAGGAGUUCCUGCUCUAUUCUGCCCUGGUC